AAAUUAUUUAUAAUUACUUAUUAUUAAAUUUAGAAUUUAAAUUAGUAUAAUUUUUAUACAAGUAAUUUAAUAUAAUUUAUAUUUAUAUUUAAUUAUAUU
rnacentral:tRNA from 1 species